GAAACUCGGAAGUUGACGCUAGAAGCUCGAAUUAAAAACAUAUUUUCAAAUAAUUUGUUUUCGAUUUCAGUCGUAAGGAAUUUUGUUUUGCUGUACGUGUCAUAAUGAUGACAUGUUUACAAGAUCUAAUUUUUGACUAUAAAUGAGGCACCAAAAUCGUAGAAAUUUAGUUAUCGUUCAAGUGUAUCGACAAUAAACAUGUCUAAGCAAUUGAUGGUUUGUUUGGUUCUGGUUGCGGUUUUGGGAGACCAAUUCAUGCAAAUUGAAUGUGGUGGUGGUGGUGGUGGUGUUGGCGGAUUGGUUAACAAAGCAAUGGGAGCCAUGACACAAGG